rnacentral:miRNA from 12 species
AGCCCGGCGUGUGAUCUUAUUGGUA